GGCCCAAUGGUUGACCAAUGGUU
rnacentral:siRNA from 1 species